AAUCCCGAGUAGCAUGGGGCACGUGAAAUCCCGUGUGAAUCAGCGAGGACCACCUCGUAAGGCUAAAUACUCCUGAGUGACCGAUAGCGAAAUAGUACCACGAGGGAAAGGUGAAAAGAACCCCUGUUGGGGAGUGAAAUAGAACAUGAAACCGUAUGCUGACAAGCAGUGGGAGCCUUUAUAUUGAGGGUGACCGCGUGCCUGUUGAAGAAUGAGCCGGCGACUUAUAGGAAGUGGCUAGGGUUAAGGAGUAAAAUCCGGAGCCCAAGCGAAAGCAAGUCUGAAUAGGGCGUAUUGUCACUUCUUAUGGACCCGAACCCGGGUGAUCUAUUCAUGGCCAGGAUGAAGCUUGGGUAACACCAAGUGGAGGUCCGAACCGACCGAUGUUGAAAAAUCGGCGGAUGAGCUGUGAAUAGGGGAGAAAUUCCAAUCGAACUCGGAGCUAGCUGGAUCUCCCCGAAAUGCGUUGAGGCGCAGCGGUAACAAUGGGCUAUCUUGGGGUAAAGCGACUGUUUCGAUGCGGGCUGCGAGAGUGGUACCAAGUCGUGGCAAACUCAGAAUACAAGAUAUGCUUUCUGUAAACCAGUGAGACGGUGGGGGAUAAGCUUCAUCGUCAAGAGGGAAACAGCCCAGAUCACCAGCUAAGGCCCCUAAAUGGUCACUAAGUGGUAAAGGAUGUGAGAAUGCUGAAACAACCAGGAAGUUCGCUUAGAAGCAGCUACCUUUCAAAGAGUGCGUAAUAGCUCACUGGUAAAGCGUUCUUGCGCCGAUAAUGGCCGGGACUAAGUGACCUGCCGAAGCUGUGAUAUCCUU
rnacentral:rRNA from 1 species